rnacentral:rRNA from 1 species
GACGAACGCUGGCGGCGUGCCUAAUACAUGCAAGUCGAACGAGAGCGACCGGUGCUUGCACUGGUCAAUCUAGUGGCGAACGGGUGAGUAACACGUGGGUAACCUGCCCAUCAGAGGGGGAUAACAUCCGGAAACGGAUGCUAAAACCGCAUAGGUCUUCGAACCGCAUGGUUUGAAGAGGAAAAGAGGCGCAUGCUUCUGCUGAUGGAUGGACCCGCGGUGCUUUAGCUGGUUGGUGAGGUAACGGCUCACCAAGGCCGGGAUGCAUAGCCGACCUGAGAGGGUGAUCGGCCACAUUGGGACUGAGACGCGGCCCAAACUCCUGCGGGAGGCAGCAGUCGGGAAUCUUACGCAAUGGACGCGAGUCUGACGGAGCAACGCCGCGUGAGUGAAGAAGGUGUUCGGAUCGUAAAACUCUGUUGUUAGUGGAGAACAAGUGCUAGAUUAACUGUUAGGGUCUUGACGGUAUCGAGCCAGAAAGCCACGGCUAACUACGUG